rnacentral:lncRNA from 1 species
GUUAUUGUCCAUGAGAUGGGGCAGAGAGGGAAAGUUUUGGCUUGUCUUCUGUCUAUUUUUAUUUAUUUUUAUUGUUUCAGUUUACCACAAAUGUUGGUAGAUCUAAUCGGGGAGGUGAAGAAAACAAGAACGCUUCGCUGGAUUUUGGUGCUACCACUUUUGCACCUUGUCGAAGGUAGCAUCAAGCCCUUUGAAGUACAAACCUCUGAAAAUACUAAUAUCAGUACAUCUUGGGCCGGACUCCAGGAAUUAGAAAAAAACAAAUCAACACUGAACAGCCAAUACUCCAGAACGGUCAUUGAUAUUAUGAAAGAAAACAGUCACUUGAUGGAGGUGGACUCCCUUUUAAUUCGAUCCUGCUUGUAUCUGAUGUCAUUCGAUAUGCUGAUGGAGUACACAAAGGAAAUGAACCCAGAGCUUCUGGACAUUCUUCUUGUUGUCACACAUAAAGUUCCUCAAAACAUCAAUGACAGCAAUUUUAAAGCCGCAAGAGAUAUCCUCGGCCAUAUUCAGCAAAAUCUCAUUGAGAAAAAAUACAGUGACUUCACAGAGACCUACAUGAAGCACUGUCUGGGGAUUGCAGUGAAACUGUUGGAGAAGAUCUGCAAAGGAGUCAAGCUAAGAUCAUCUCAUGAGAAAGCUUGUUAUGUUCCUCUGGCAUGCAUGAAUCUAGUGGCAUCAUUGUCAGAUUUGUUCCUGGAGGCUCAAGAAAAUGAUCCAUCAGCCCAACAUUUUGCUAAAGACUUGGUGAUCACUCAGACCAUGAAGUUGGCAAGAUCCUGGAUGAACCAGUCUUGCAAACAAAGUUUUCUCAAAAAUAUUCUGUCAUACAUUUGGAAAAGGAAGAAGCCGGAAUUUGAAGUGAGUCGUUUGCACUUAGAUAGGAGCCACAAAUGUAUCAUGCUACCUAAAUUUUUUGGUUAUUAA